GUGUGAAAAGCCAAUUCCAAUUUUGACAUCCCAUGUUGGCCCUCCAGUAGAAAAGGCAGGUCACAAAACUCAACCAGAGUGGUGACCCUUACAUCAGCAAAGACGCAACUUCAGUUCCAAAAUUCAAAAGAAUCAAACAAUCUGAAUUUCGGCUAGAGGCAACAACAAAGGAACAAUGCAAAAAAGACAGUAGUCAAGAAGAGUUGCCCAAAAAAUUUCUAAUGCUGUGUUUGGCAAGCUAUGGUGGUUCUUCUGUAUCCUACUCUGUCCUCAAAUUCAUAUCAAUUGGUUCAUCAGAUCAAUCCUUGCAAUUACAAGAAAUUCAAUUCCCUUCUAGUGAUAAUGGUGACUGCUUCGGGAUGGGUUUUGGAGUCGAAUUUCUUGUAAUUACCCAGGUAUGAUUUUAAAUUUUGCAUAACAAUUUUGUUUCUAAAUCAUUUUCGUUUUUUUGGCCACCAAGAACAUAUAAAUUUGACCCGACAACUCCAAAACCCAUCCCCAAGCAGUCACCAUCAUUACUAGAAGGGAAUUGAAUUUCUUGUAAUUACAAGGAUUGAUGAACCAAUUGAUAUGAAUUUGAGGACAGAGUAAGAAACAGAAGAACCACCAUAGCUUGCCAAACACAGCAUUAGAAAUUUUUUUGCAACUCUUCUUGAUUCCUGUCUUUUUUGCAUUGUUCCUUUGUUGUUGCCUCUGGCCGAAAUUCAGAUUGUUUGAUGCUUUUGAAUUUUGGAACUGAAGUUGCGUCUGUGCUGAUGUAAUGGUCACCACUCUGGUUGAGUUUUGUGACCUGCGUUUUCUACUGGGGGCCAACAGAGUCCAGAUCCCUACCGUGGUGUCAAAAGGACAUCGUUUUGACAAUAAAUUGAAAAAAAAAAGUUUCCUGCUCCUUUUGCGUUUCUCCUUCAAUCGUUGAGACAGCCCUAACCCUCAAGAGAGGCGGACUCGAAUGGCUCCUCCGACGCAGAGGAGGGUGGGCGACGGCGACUCCGGAGGCGACAGCGACUGCAACUAGGCGAGAUGAGGCGGCGGUGAGGUUUGAUUUCUAGGAGUUUGCUCCCCUCUUUUCCUUUCUCUCUCAUCAGUUUCAAAGCCCUAAUCAGUUUCAAAGAACAGAGGAAUGGUCUGAACUGAACCCCCUCCAUCGAUUCUUUGUCUUCCCUUUCCAUCCAAUCUUCUAUGGCGUCAAUGUCUUGAUUUGUUGCCAAAGAUUGCAGAUUGCAGCCUCACCAUGCUCUUUACAAGCAAAACUAUUUGCUUACCUGUAAGGAAGAUUGAAUCCACAAAAAUAGUGGAAAAGAUGAGUGAUUGGGGUAAGGGUUGAAGCCGAACUAAGUGUACUAUUAUCAAUUUGGAGAUCAUUCUAUACCAGCAAUGAGUAAUGUGUCCUACAAAUGCAACACAAAGAAGUGAUGGAAUUAUAAGAGAAAGAGUUGUGCUACAAAGUGAACUUAUAAGAUACGGAGAGUGUUAGUGAAUAGCUUUGAUUUUUGACCGCGAAGAUGCAACAAGCAAUAAACUUUUGAUUGUAUAAUUGGUGUUACUUGUAAUUGAUAUUAUUUUAAUUAUGAAGAAGUAACUAUGUUUCAAUGUUGUAAUUGACUAGUUUGAUUCUUGAAAUGGUUGGGAAUGUAGAACUUCUGAAAAUUGUGAAA